rnacentral:rRNA from 1 species
AAUGAUUGAUUUAAUAGCCGCAGUAUCUUGACUGUGCAAAGGUAGCAUAAUAAAUUGUCUUUUAAUUUGGGACUGGAAUGAAUGAUGGGAUGUGAUGAAUACUGUCUUUAUGGUAAUUGAUUUAAAUUUACUUUUUUAUGAAGAGGUUAAGAUUUAGUUGGUAGACGAGAAGACCCUAUCAAGCUUUAUUUUUAGAUUAGUUUUGUUUUGUUGGAUUGGUGAACGGAUUGUGAUAAGAAUUUUGUUGGGGCAAUGUUUGAAUAUCGUGUAAUUUUUUAUUUUGUAUUAUAUUUUGAUCCAUUUUUAGUGAUUGUAGGAGUAAGUUACUGUAGGGAUAACAGCGUAAUUAAUUUGGAGAGUUCAUAUUGGUAAAUUGGAUUGCGACCUCGAUGUUGGUUUAAUGAUUCUUUAAGGUGUAGCAGUUUUAUAAGAG